AUACGAGCUACGCCAAUGGCUGAACUGCAAAACCUUUGUAGCCAAAAACAAUCAACAACGAUGCAGGGGGCUUAUUGUUUUGAUGUAAAUGAAUUGAAUGUUAAAACCGGAUUGCAAUAGAACAGACCGUUCGAUCGCAGCAUUUUCAAUCGUGCCCUUUCCUUUGCGAUUUCUAUAGCAAAACAAGUAUGAAAUUCUUUGAAAACUCAUCAGUGACGAUGAUCGGAAGGAUUUGUGCAAAUGUCGUGAAACAUGGAUUUUUUUUUAAGUAACAGUUUUCUGAAAUAAUUUGUUAUUAGUGUUUAACGUUUGGUAUAGUCGUUUAUGUAAAUUCCAUUCCUUAAAUGCGAGUUGCUUUAUCGUCCCUAGCCUACUACACAUUUGUUGAGAGUUUUUUGUCGAGACAAAAAAGGAAAAAAAAAAAACCAAAAAAAACAAAUGGCUGCCAAAAUCGAGGGUGAGGGUAAACGACAAACGUUUGUCAUUCAGGGUCACUUGCGGUGUUGCGGAGUUGUUAUCGAAUCAUUUUGGACUGUGCCAGCUCUUAAGUGCAGAGACGUUCGCCAAGCCCCACAGAAAGGAUAAAGCCCACGAUCAAGAAUUUUGACCGUGAAUCGCGAACUCGAUUGAACUCCGGGAACUGGUGACGACCUAUAUGGAAUUGCCCUUGGAAUUUUCAGAUUAUUAUACCCUUUCUGGAUUGAUUUCUUCUUUAACAUCACCAAUUUUGGGUGGUCCUGUGACUCCAAUUCCACUUGUACAUGAGGCACAUCAUUUUGCUGUGGUACUCAGGUGCAUUGGGUGUUAAGAAGUAAACGUGCCCACAUAAAUUAGGCAUUACGAACACGUCGAGUAAAGUGUAAAUAUUUCGAAAACGAACUGGUAAAUAUCAAUUUUUUAAACUAUAAUUUACGUUACAAGAAAAUCGGCUUAAUCUUAGGAGGCCUCCGUCCCUCCUUUCACUUCAUUCUAUAUAUUUAUUAAAGUGCAAUUCGUUUGGUCCAUUGAGGACAAGUUUGAAAAAUUGCGUUAAACUAAAAUAGUUUGUUUUUUCAUUGCCAAAAAAGAUGAGAUAAGAUUUAGCUUCCUCUACCCCGAUUUAGCUUCCUAGCUCCCUUACUCGUUCAAGUCCGGUAGAAUCUAACGUGUAGAUUUUCGGCUGUUCAUUCCAAAAUUUAUCAGCAUUGAAGAUAAAUUUUCGCCAACGAAACAAAGGAAAGACACGAUACAGCCAAAGAUUAAGAUGUAAAACGCGCCCGAGAAGUUUUUCAAAGUAAUUUUCGUUCGGUUGUCAAAUAGUUUGCCUCGUUGCUUUUCCUUAGCCUCGUUGAGACAAAAAUUUACGUUUUGAUGUUUUUCCUGUUCACGCCGAGUCCAAAAAUCAAUUAAUCCGGCUUGAUGCAGCUGCAUGAAUCUGCGCCAGACAGAAAAAAACAAAACAACAUAACCACAAUUAAAGUUGAAAAAGAUUUUAGCAAUACCUACCCUUUGACAAAGACUUUAGUAUUGGGACUCUUUUUGGGCAGGAUCCAUGCCAAAGAUCCCGUAGUUGGGUCGGAUCUCUGAGCUAUGGCAAGAUUACAUUUAUUUGUAGCCUUAAAAUCUUGACUGAUCAUAGUCAGCGCGCCAAACAUACCCUUUAAACAUCAACAUAAGAAUAGACGAAUUAUUCCUAUAGUUGAAGUAAAUAUUUCAACCUAAAGAAAAUUUCGGAUGCAAAGUCCUGGCCAUUUGAUGUUUGUUUACCUGAAUAUAGGUGUACUUUCCUGAUUUCACAAGGUUAAUGCAGUCACGGUUUGUCGCGCAGCGGGACUUUGGGUCUGACCGUAGUUUAUCACCCAAUUGCUUGUAGAUUCCAUCUUUGGCUGACUAAAUUAAUAUCCAUUUUCUUUUAGAAUCAACAGUGUCAACAUGUUAAAGCAUUGAUUCAAUUACCGAAAGAACAAUAUCUAUGCCCUUUCCUUCAUCGACGACUAGACGAACGUUCGGUUUUCCGGCCAAGUCCGUAACUGAAUCGACCAACGGUUCUGCAUUUGAGCCCAGGAUGUAAGAAACUAAGACGCUGUUGUAUGCGCUAAUUAGCACGAAUGUGCCCAGAUACCAUGAACCCAGAACGAAGUAAACAGCUAGUCGUGGCAUUGGCAGAACUCUGCCUCCUGCAUUGAAAAAAUUUUGUAUUUUGACUGGAAUCGAAUUAAAAUGGAUUGAUUAUUCCUUACCUUGGUUUAGGAGAAUCCGGCAUACUUCGAAAAUGAUUUGGCCUGCUGUUGAACUUGCUGGACGUUGCAUUGCGCUUUGCUUCCAUCCCGAGACAUCAGAGCGGAUCGUUCCAGGUAUCGGAUGGAUCGAAAGGUAAAUGGCAAUCGCCGUAACAGGAAUUAACAACAGCAAUCCAAUCCAGACCUGUUUUUUUUUUAAAUAAUAAUGUUCAACCGGCAUUUACAAUCCUUCAUUUAAAUACCAUUUUAGGAAGAUAUAUCGCUAAGAACUUAAUUACUGAAAUUUGAAAGGGUUUGAUAAUAGCUGCCGUGUUGCUUGUUGACUGAGGCAUUGGUAUCACGACAGCGACUGUCGUGUAGGAAUAUCCCUCAGCGAAAUCCAUGGAUAUUAAACGGCUAGAGACCAUUACAAUGGUUCCCAUCAUCAAGUCACAUUUCUGGAAUGUAAUCGAAGUAGAUUGUUAUCAAUUUCACAAUAUUUACAGGUACACAGAUCAAAAGAAUGUAACUGACGCCUUUUUCCAUGUAAUAAGCCAGGCCCGGUAAUGAAUCAUUUUGCUUUUCGAUGGAGUUGUCGUUCACCUGCAAAUACGAAUACCUAUACAGCAACGCAAUAAAAAAAAAAGCCAGAGUUUUAGCAGCUACACCAUCUACUCUAGUUAUUUGACCGGUGGUGUUCCUUAUUACGGUUGCAUGAACCAACGCAACCUUGAUCAAAUACAGAUGAAGACGGUUAAAAAUUAUUGAGCAAGUAAAUAUGAAUCCUAUUGUACCAGUGGCCCGACAGACAGGUGUUUUCCGUUCAAUGGAUUAAAAUCGCUUGAAACAAGUUCAAUUAAGAAUAGCAUCCAGUGAAUUGUCUUCAUCGUGAAAAGAUUUAAAAUAGGUGACUGUAAGACCGUUGCUGUGUAAGAACCGAAUUCACAUCUGCCGGACGAAGGAGAAGAACCGUUCUUUUAAACGACAUGAACGAAUAUCGUGGACUGCCUCGAUCACCACGGAAACUUUACAUUUAACUAAGAAAAUCCCUCGGGUUGCGUGAGAACGGUUCGUUCAAAAGCUUUUGAAGACAGAAAUAACGCAGUGAUAUGAAUCCAUUAUGGAUAGCAAUCAACGAUGCUAGGAAUGUCACAGAAAGCUAAUGGCAGGAAUAAUUGAACGUGUCUAUCAUCAAAAGACAUUUCAACGAAGCCUCUGUCAAACUCAAAAGAAAUAUGAACAGAAUUUUUAUUUUUGUAUUUCGGGAAAGAAAACUAAGCAUCACAAAUGACAGGCUAACUAUUGAUUCUACUUAGAGACUAGAAAUGAGUUUUCAGCGGAUAUUUGGCUUGACGCUCACACGAAACAUAUUUAUGUGAAAACAACUGAACUUCGGAAUCGAUCAGGAGUGAAUAAUAACGCACAUCGUCAGUACUGAAGCUGAGCUUUCUACAUUUCACGUUUUGUCGAAACAAUUGCUGCGAAUCGAGCACGUCUUUUGAAACGACUGUCUUAUAAGGCUAACGGUAGAUGAACGCCAGUGAAGCAACCCACAGGUAGUCCACACAAUCAAGAAGUGAACGAAUCCCGAGAUGUUCUUCAAGACCUUGCUGAAAUGCGUGCGGAAGUGACACAGAAUGAAAUCUUGAAAUGUAAUGACAUCAUCAAUGUUGGAAGAAUUUCUCCCAACGAGAACGGAGGCACAAAACAACCUCAUUCACUUUUAGAACGAACGAAUAGCGUGAGCACAGAUUACGGACAAGCUAGACACGGAAUUCAUCGUGCAGAACGAAAGCUCUGCAGCAAGAGAAUAUGCCCCAAGCGGGAAUAUAGAGUUUUCAUCCGUACAUGGUAAUGCCAAAAUUAAAGCCUGAUGGUUGAGCAAUGCUCGAGUGACGUGGACUAGUGGGAGACAGUUGUAAUCAAUCAUGGUUGCAAACUCGUUCAAGGAAACUGACGCAAUAAGGGGAAAUCCCAUGCUGCCUAAAGGGGGUAUACUUACGAAACCUUUUUCUGGAAAGACCCCAACAUUCCGGAUUUUCCGGUGAUUGUGGAGAAGGAGGUAAUCAAGGGAUACUCGGUAUGAAUUAGUAAAAAAAAAAAAAAAAGAAAAAACCCUUUUCCCACAAUACCGCUGACAGGCUCCU